GAUUGUGAGUCAUAAGUUGAGAAAAAAAAAAGAUGUUGCCCAUUCUGCCAGCCGUAUGUCCUCUAGCAUGGUUCACCAAGCCUGACGGGCUCUGAUGGAGUAGGAACGGUCACCUCUGGACAUGAGCUGAGACUUUGUUACAUCAAGGAGGGUCCUGCCUGAGGAGAAAGGCUGCACACUGACUCUCUCGAAGGUCCAGCCAAUCACAAUUGAUGUAUGGCAUGUACACGUCGGUCUAAACUGUCACUUGAGUCCAGAGCUCAAUCAGCACUAAAAACGUGAUGAUGGCAAGUUAUUUUGCAAUAACAAUUCUGAUUGCAGCAUUGCCGGUUGAGAGCCAAGACAUUCCUCGUUCAGUUUCUGAAAUAAAAGCAGAACUUGGAGAUAAGGUUACUUUACAUUGUAGAGGAAUGAAUGAAGGAGAUAUGAUUGACUUGUACAAACAAUCUCAUGGAUAUUUUCCUCAAAGAGUCGCUCGAAGUGUGUUUGGAAAAAUUACAAUUUAUCCUCCCUUUAAUUUAACAUUCACAGUGGAAGAAGGGGUUUCUGAUUUCAAUCUGAUCAUUCAAAGUGUAACUAAAGGCGAUGAAGCAAACUAUUUUUGUCGACAACGAUUUUCUGAAAGUUGGACUAAUGGCAUUUUUCUGUCUGUCGAAGAUCACAUCAUCACCACGUUUGAAGAAAAGCAAGAUGAAACAGAAUCCUACAGGCAUCUGGUGAUCUUGGUGCAUCGGAUAAUGUUGGCUUGCUGUCUGCUUGUGAUUAUAAUCCUCAUUCUAAU
ensembl:lncRNA